UCUCCGUUGGUGAACCAGCGGAGGGAUCAUUACAGAGUUGCAAAGCUCCCAAACCAUUGUGAACGUUACCUAUCCCGUUGCUUCGGCGGGCGGCCCGGGCCCCGCGCCCGGCGCCCCCCGGCCCCCCGUGGGCGCCCGCCGGAGGUAAACCAAACCCUUGAAUUGCAUGGCCUCUCUGAGUCUUCUGUACUGAAUAAGUCAAAACUUUCAACAACGGAUCUCUUGGUUCUG
rnacentral:misc_RNA from 1 species